rnacentral:misc_RNA from 1 species
UCUCCUACCCAUCAAUUCUAACGCUACACAAGAAACGUUUUUGCUAUUUGGGUACCCUUCAAGUUUGGUGCUUUUGGCCGAGCAAUCAAGCAAAACUUUUGUUUCCUUUCUAAUAUUUGAUUUCAAGUGCAUGGCUCUUCACCCGACUGCCUUCUACUUUGGUGGUGUGGCUUUUAAUUCUCGUAAUUCCGUUGCUUUCAGACGUGGGAAUGUUGGAGCCUCUGGUUUCUCUUCUCCUCCUCUCGUUUCCAUUCCGCUAUCCAGUUUGCAAUGUAUGUGUAGCUCAUUUCUUGGAAUUGCAAGUGCCCUUUCUUUUUUAUCUGUAGCUUUUUUAAUGCGUUUUAAUUUUCAAUUUGAUGCUUUUAUGUUCUCUUUAUCUAAUGGGUACUGCAGAAUCUUAUGGGGAAAAUAAACUAGUGGAGGUAGAGUUACUCCAGACUGUUCAAAUUUGGUUGAAAAUUUAUUAAUCAUUUGCUUGAAUAUUUUGAUCGGGUUAAUAUGUUGCCUUUCUUGAUGUUCCUGUAUAAACUUGUUUGUUUUCGGAUAGAUGGUUUUCCUUGUUAGGAAAAGGGGUUUUAGUAGGUAAUAAGUAGCUUGUCAAAGUAGAGAUGUGUCUCUUCCGAGCAUACAGCCCCCAUGCCUCAUGGCUACAAGAAAUUCCUCAAACAGAAAAGCUCAGUGCAAGUUGAUAACUAAUGUUUGCCAUCAUUCAAUGAUUUUGUGUGAGAGGAUGGAAAUGCAAUUAAAAUGUAAGAAUUGAUCAGCAGAAUCUUGCCAUCAGAUCAAUCAUGAAAAUGCUUUUUUUGGCCUAGAUUAAUUGAAAACUGUGAUCAGAUCAAGUUCAUGUCCAACAAUCACCCACUUGAGUUCCAUAAAUCGUAUUUCACUUGAGAAAAAUAGUGUUCGAAAACCAAAAGAUUUGAGAUCUUGAUGAGCAUCUGCUUUACAUUUGAAAAUUACUUGCUUGAUGAUGUAUUGUCCUUUAAAAAUAUUAUGAGCACUUCUCUGUUAGAGCUGAUUUAUGUUGCAAGUACCAACAAUCGGCUUCUUUUCAGAGCUGCAAAUAACCAAGUCAAACUCUUCUCUUCCUUUUCUUUUGAAAAAUUGUGAAUAAACUGUAAACAAAAAUUCCCGCGGAAUUUGUUAAAAAUGGGAUGAAGUAUCAAUUUGCCCCGUGAACUUGUCAUCUAGGGAUAAAUAGCCCCAAAAUUAAUUUUAUGUGAAUUAGCCCAUAAGUUUUAUUUUUUGGGGCAAUUAAGUCCGAAAAAUCUGAUUAAAAGCCUAUAAAUACAUUCUCGAUUCAGUCAGAAUUAGUUCAGAGGGCAAAUUGCUACUUUAUCCAUGUUGUACUAUCAGAGCCUUUGGUGACCUUAUAAAGUUUUCUAGGAUUUGGUUAUGUUUUAUGCAUUGAAGUCCAAUCUCAGCUCAAUUCUGAGAUUUGUCUCUUUUGGCAGCCUACUAUUCCAUUCCUUUAUUAAUGAUUAAUGGAUCUCAUAAAUCGAUUCAUAACUUAUUCCAUUCCUUUUUAACAAUUAUUUACUUCCAUAAACAUUUUUUUUCUUGUUUCCAAUUUUCUGCAGCUGCUAACUUUGUUCUUACUUCUUUUAACUUCUAUUUGUCUUAGGUAAAGCAUUUUCAGGUGAUGGGUUAAAUGAAACAAAAGACUCCUCCCUGGUGGUUUGUUUUGGGGAAAUGUUGAUUGAUUUUGUUCCAACCACCAAUGGGCUUUCAUUGGCUGAAGCACCUGCAUUUAAAAAGGCUCCAGGAGGUGCACCAGCAAAUGUUGCGGUUGGUAUUGCUCGUCUUGGUGGCACCUCAGCUUUUAUUGGAAAGGUUGGUGAAGAUGAAUUUGGAUACAUGCUUGCCAAUAUUUUAGAGGAGAAUAAUGUGAACAAUGAAGGGAUACGUUUUGAUCCUGGUGCACGAACUGCUUUAGCAUUUGUUACAUUGAAAAAUGAUGGAGAACGUGAAUUCAUGUUUUACCGUAAUCCAAGUGCUGAUAUGUUGCUUCAAGAAGAUGAACUUGAUUUUAAUUUGAUUAGGAAGGCAAAAAUAUUUCAUUAUGGCUCUAUAAGUCUUAUAACAGAACCAUGCAAGUCAGCUCACAUUGCAGCAGCAAAAGCAGCAAAGGAUGCUGGUGUCCUCCUGUCCUAUGAUCCUAACCUGAGGCUUCCACUGUGGUCAUCUGCUGAUAGUGCAAGAGAAGGCAUUCUGAGCAUUUGGGAACUUGCUGAUAUUAUCAAGAUAAGUGAAGAAGAGAUAUCUUUCUUAACUAAAGGGGAGGAUCCAUAUGAUGAUGCUGUUGUUAGGAAACUAUUCCAUCCAAAUCUUAAAAUGCUUCUUGUCACUGAGGGUGCAGAUGGUUGCAGGUAUUACACCAAAGAGUUCAAUGGGAGAGUCAGGGGCUUAAAGGUUGAUGCAGUGGAUACCACGGGUGCUGGGGAUGCUUUUGUGGCAGGAAUAUUAUCACAGCUAGCUGAGGAUCUGUCCUUGCUUAAGGUAGUACCUUUCAGAAUUUAAGGUGCAAAAGGUUCUUAUUUCUUUCUGUCAAUUUGCAAUGUGUUCGCACACAUAUCCACGCAUCCACAUUUGCAUAUCUUGCAUCCUUGUACUGAUUUUUAUUUUUUACUGGGCAACAGGUGCAUAAUUGUUCAAAACAAAUGAACCAGGGUAAUAUGUAGACUAUCCAUGGUUUGUUACUAGAUACCAUCAUAGCAUUAGAAAAUUCAGUUUCUAGCAUGCGCAUAAAAUAGGAAAAGAAAAUCCAUGUUCAUUAUGUGGUUAUACUUUUACCUUGACUAAUUCCUGAAUCUGUUACUACUGAAUGUUUAGAUUUCACUUUUCCUUGUUUAGACAACUGUACAUUGCAAGUAGUACCUUUAGUAGUAUUUAUGCAUCUAACUGCGACUUUUUUAAUCAUGUAGAAUGAGCACCGAUUAAGAGAUGCUCUUGCGUUUGCUAAUGCUUGCGGUGCAUUGACUGUGACGGAGAGAGGUGCAAUUCCAGCUUUGCCAACCAGAGAAGUUGUGCAGAAUGCCAUCCUGAAGUUUGUAGCAUAGGGUUUACACAAGAUGUCUACAACCCAGACUUAUGCCCAUUCUUUGGAUUAGUGAAUGGUGAUAAUGCUAGUGCUGGAUGCCAGCAUAGAAUCUAAUUUUCUUAAAUAAUUCAAACAUUUGCUAGUCUGUUCAUGCUGCUGCAAGUUUUUCCAUAAUUUAUUGAGUUCAAUUAUUUUGAUUCGGCAGGUUGUAUCAACCCCAUGCAUUUUACUGUUAUUAACAUAAGCAGUCAUGCUGAUAAGCAACACCCACAAGAUAAAGUUACUAAUU